GACGAACGCUGGCGGCGUGCCUAAUACAUGCAAGUAGAACGCAGUGGGGACGGGUGAGUAACACGUGGGUAACCUCCCAUCAGAGGGGAUAACACUUGGAAACAGGUGCUAAACCGAUACUGAUGGAUGGACCCGCGGUGCAUUAGCUAGUUGGUGAGGUAACGGCGCACCAAGGCCACGAUGCAUAGCCGACCUGAGGGGGUGAUCGGCCCCACUGUGACGGAGACACGGCCCAGACUCCUACGGGAGUCAGCAGUAGUGAAUCUUCUGCAAUGGACGAAAGUCUGACCGAGCAAUGCCGCGUUAGUGAAGAAGGUUUUCGGAUCGUAAAACUCUGUUGUUAGAGAAGCGGUAUCUAACCAGAAAGCCACGGCUAACUACGUGCCAGCCGCCGCGGUAAUAC
rnacentral:rRNA from 1 species